UGGCUCAGUGCGUGGAGCGUGAGACUCUUAAUCUCGGGGUUCUGGGUUCAAGUCCCAC
rnacentral:tRNA from 1 species